rnacentral:tRNA from 1 species
AGGAAUAUAGUUUAAAAAACAACAUUUGAAUUGCAAUCAAAAAAUAUUAUAAAUAAUUAUUCUUA